AGAGUUUGAUCAUGGCUCAGGACGAACGCUGGCGGCGUGGAUAAGACAUGCAAGUCGAACGGGAUUAUUUUUGUAGCAAUACAGAAGUAAUUCAGUGGCGAACGGGUGCGUAACACGUGGGCAAUCUGCCGAGAAGUGGGGGAUAGCUCGCCGAAAGGNNAAUUAAUACCGCAUGUGGUGAGGGACGACAUCUUCCUGAAUCCAAAGCCGGGGCAACCUGGCGCUUUUUGAGGAGCCCGCGGCCUAUCAGCUAGUUGGUGAGGUAACGGCCCACCAAGGCUUUGACGGGUAGCUGGUCUGAGAGGACGACCAGUCACACUGGAACUGAGACACGGUCCAGACACCUACGGGUGGCAGCAGUCGAGAAUUUUUCUCAAUGGGGGCAACCCUGAAGGAGCGACNNCGCGUGGAGGAUGAAGGCUUUCGGGUUGUAAACUCCUGUCAUUUGAGAACAAGGUGCACGUGUUAACUGUACGUGCAUUGAUAGUAUCAGAAGAGGAAGGGACGGCUAACUCUGUGCCAGCAGCCGCGGUAAUACAGAGGUCCCAAGCGUUGUUCGGAUUCAUUGGGCGUAAAGGGUGCGUAGGUGGCGCCGUAAGUCGGGUGUGAAAUUUCGGAGCUUAACUCCGAAACUGCAUUCGAUACUGCGGUGCUUGAGGACUGGAGAGGAGACUGGAAUUCAUGGUGUAGCAGUGAAAUGCGUAGAGAUCAUGAGGAAGACCAGUGGCGAAGGCGGGUCUCUGGACAGUUCCUGACACUGAGGCACGAAGGCCAGGGGAGCAAACGGGAUUAGAUACCCCAGUAGUCC
rnacentral:rRNA from 1 species